rnacentral:piRNA from 1 species
UUUUAGAAUUUUAGUCGGUAU